GAUGAACGCUGGCGGCGUGCCUAAUACAUGCAAGUCGAGCGAACAGACGAGGAGCUUGCUCCUCUGACGUUAGCGGCGGGCGGGUGAGUAACACGUGGAUAACCUACCUAUAAGACUGGGAUAACUUCGGGAAACCGGAGCUAAUACCGGAUAAUAUAUUGAACCGCAUGGUUCAAUAGUGAAAGACGGUUUUGCUGUCACUUAUAGAUGGAUCCGCGCCGCAUUAGCUAGUUGGUAAGGUAACGGCUUACCAAGGCAACGAUGCGUAGCCGACCUGAGAGGGUGAUCGGCCACACUGGAACUGAGACACGGUCCAGACUCCUACGGGAGGCAGCAGUAGGGAAUCUUCCGCAAAGGGCGAAAGCCUGACGGAGCAACGCCGCGUGAGUGAUGAAGGUCUUCGGAUCGUAAAACUCUGUUAUUAGGGAAGAACAAAUGUGUAAGUAACUAUGCACGUCUUGACGGUACCUAAUCAGAAAGCCACGGCUAACUACGUG
rnacentral:rRNA from 1 species